AUUUUGAGAAAAAAACGUUCUCAUCCUCUCUCCCUAAUUAUUGUCUUCUUCCUCUCUCAAACCCGUGCCUCUCAGACUUUUAUCAUCUCUCAAUCUCGCUCACGAUACACUACUCCCAAUUCUCACUCUAAACACGAAAGCCAUGGUUUUAAAGAGAAUCAAGCAAGAAGGCUCACCUUCGGCGGUGAUUCGGCGACGAUGAAGAGUUCGUAUCUUCCUCCCUUCGCUAGGUUUUUUCACGUCGUCGCCUGAAGAUUAGGGUUUCUGUGGUUAGGAUUUUCGUUCGGACAAAUUUAGGGUUUUUUUCCGCCUCCAAGAUUUAAGGUUUUUUCUGCCUUUUCGCCUCCGCUUCGCCCCUCUUUAUAUUCACUACCUUAGGGUUUCAAAUAGGUCUAUGGAGACCAAAAGGGGUUUCUGCGAAAUCCCUUUAGGGUUGUCAGAUUUUGGUCUGCCUCUUUGAUGUUUGUUCUGGAAUGUGAAAAUUUAGUGGAAGCAUGAGUAACUUCGGUUUGUAUUGUGAUGUGUUCUACCGCAGGUUUGUUGUAUUGCUGCAGAAUGGAUGGAGAAUGAUGGUGCAGGUUCUGCAGGAUAUUGACAGCAUGAUGCAUUACAUGAGUGUGGUGUGAGGUUACUGUCAUGGUUGUUUUAAUGGAGGGUUGAGGACGGGUUAGAAGAUGUUGAGAAGAUGAAUUGAAGGAGAGGUUGGAGACGGUUAUCGGUUGUAGAUUCAGUUAGAGUCGGCGAUUUUAUGAGUUAGCUUAGCAAUUGGAGGAAUUGUUUGUUAGACCGUUAUUGGAACUCCGUUGAAUUUCGUGGUUCCAGAAGUUCAUUGAGCUGUUAUGAGUUUUUAUGGUCGAUAACUAUUAACUGAUUUCCCUUCUUUUCUUUAGGUUCUAAAAAAAUCAUGAGCCACAAGUGGAGCACCCCUUCCAGGUUUCCGUUAUACACCUGCACUCUUAUGCCUCUGGUUUGCUGAAACUGAGCAUUAAAAGGCUCAGUUGUGAAGCUUGAGAAAUGUCUUGCAACUAAGUUCAUAUUUUGUUAUUGUCUGCGGCGGUCAGCGAGAGAUUCCGAUGCAGUUUUUGUGGUUAGGUGGUUUAGGUACGACUCUGAUGGUGAUGGAUGUGUUUGGUGACUGAUAAUGCGAAAGGAAAAUGUAUUGGAUAUGUGGUAAUUUGGUAUGUAGUAUGAAAUUGUAAGGAAUGAAUAGGAAGUUUGAAGGUUAUUGGUUAGCUUGGGAAUUUCGGCUUGGAUGCGGCUACGAAGCGCAUUGGAUGGCAGGGCUGUUUUGGAAUUCUUAUGGAGUGCUAUGGCCUUGAUAAUGUUGAUUCGCUACUGUUAGAAAAAUCAUAUGUAAUGGAUUGGGAUAUAUCGAAUGUAUUGAAAUGGUUGGGUAGUGACUAUUGUAAUUUGGUUAGAUAAUAUGUAAUUGAAAGCGAGUGAAAAUUUGAAUGGUUUAUGUAAUAUGGUAUGGAAUCAAAUUACAGGAAGUUUGGGGAAAAUGAAAUUGAAUGGACAAAGAGCUCCAUGAAUUUGAAUGGUUUAUGUAAUAUGGGUGAAAUUGUUUGUAACUUUGGAAUUGAGUGGUUGUAUAUUGGUAUUGGUUUAGAAAUGAACAUGUAAUUAGGUUUUGGUUGUAAUUUGAACUUGAUUGAAGUGAUUGUAAAGAAUAAGAAAUGGUUGUAACUUGGUUUA